rnacentral:rRNA from 1 species
AUUGAACGCUGGCGGCAGGCCUAACACAUGCAAGUCGCACGAGUGGCGGCCGGGUGAGUAAUGUCUGGGAAACUGCCUGCUGGAGGGGUAUAACUACUUGCCCCGGUAGCUAAUACCGCCUACCCUCUGUUCUCCCCACCUGGGAUUAGCUAGUAGGUGUGGUAAAGGCUCACAUAGGCGACGAUCCCUAGCUGUUCUGAGCGGAUGACAAGCCAAACUAGGACUUAGACAGGGUGCAGACGCCUACGGGAGGCAGCAGUGGGGAAAAUUGGACAAGGGGCGCAAGCUUGAUGCAGGCAUGCCGCGGGUAUGAAGAAGGCCUUGGGGUUGUAAAGUACUGUCAGCGGGGAGGAGGUACCCGCAGAAGAAGCACCGGCUAACUCCGUGCCAGCAGCCGCGGUAAUUC